AGCUGGUUUAGGCUUAUUUUUUUUUUAAAAUCCCAGCCUUUGUCACAGCCUCCCUGGGAAUUGGAGCAGAAGGCAGCUACUAGCAGUUCCACUUUGCAGACCAGGAGACUGAGGGAUCAAUGCAAAGAGACUCCUUCAGGGAUGGACCAUGAGUGGAGAGCUGGUAAGAAGACUGAAUUCCAAAGGGUAAAAAGAGUUGGCUUGAAUCCAAAUAUUCUGGGGACAGAGGCAAGUGGAGGCACCAAGACUGAAAGGCCAGUACUCUUUCUCCUGCUACAAAACUCCUUCACUCUCAGCUGAUGAAGAUAAAAAACAAGUUUCAGAACAGAAAAACUAAUUCAAGCCUAUCUGCCUACUGACAGCACCACCUACAAUAGACUGAGCUCUCCUGCAUAAAUCAGCAAUGAAGAAAACGCCCCCACAAACACGCCUAUAAGCCAAUCUGAUGAAAACUAUUUAUUAUUUUGCUUUCUCCAGGUAUGUCAAGUUGAUACCUGAAACUGUGACAUUUCCCAUGUAUAAAGGGUAUAAUUUGAAGAUUUAUCUACCAUCAUAUCUGUAAGGAUACCAUGAAACAAUUUACAUGGAUUGUAAAUAUUAUCUUUUAUUGUUAUUUAUACCUUCUUCUGCAUUUAAAUAUGUAUAAACCCACAGAUUGUGAUUUUGGAUACUCAAGUACAGAUAAACUCAUAAUAAAGAAAGAAUAAAAUCUUAU
rnacentral:lncRNA from 1 species